GGAAGGAGAGUGCGCCACGUGUCGUGUAUUUAUAACGGGCUGUAUCCUUUAGACCGUAAAUCAUAAGACCUUUUGUUUUGCUGGGCCAUUUCUUUCUCAAUCCCAUGAUAUGCUGAAUUCUUCUUCGCGUCUUAUCAUCUUUCAUCUUCUUCGUCGAGAUACCAGUAACCGAUUUAUCAUCUUUACGCCAUCAAUUAAUCGAUCACCUACGAUCUAGAUUCAAUGUGAGAUUUAUGUAAUCCAAGGCGGUGGAGUUCGACUAUAAAAAGACCGGCCGCUCCUCCUCCACCGUCAAAGUUCGCUUGCUCCGCUUCUGGGAGACCAGAAACGUCUGCCGUGGUGGAGAACUCAUGGGAGUCCACAUUCUCCUACUUGAUUCUCAGUCGACCAUGAUGCCGGCGACUGUGAGUGUCAACAGUCUUGCGACACACCAGCCUAAUCUGGAGGCGGGUUCGGUCUACUCUCUAACCGGUUUUGAUGUCACACGAUGUAACCAGAAUUACCGUCUGUCAGACUCUCCCCUAUUGGUCCGGUUUAGCGACUCAACCUCUUUCAAGAAGGUCACCGAACCGGCUGUUCCAAUACCUCUAGAAUCAUUCCGCUUUCGUAACCACAGUGAGAUGCUUGGUCUUGCGAGCAUCGUGACCCUCCACAGGACGAGAAUCAUGUUAUGGCGACAAUCAAGAUGGAGAAUGACAUGUCUGUGACUAUGAGCCUCUUUGACGCCCAGGCUGUUAAGAUUCAUAAUCAACUCGAGAAGAUGGGAGUUGAUCCAAGGGUUGUCGUUGCAACCAGUGUGAAUCCAAAAAUGGUGGGAGGUAAGCAACCAGUUUGACACAAACAUGGCUAGCUUUGUAAUGAUGUCGAGAUCAUAUAUACCCUAUUCAUAAUGCAUGUUGUAUGUUUUUGAAUGCCACAUGCGGCACACACAUAUAUUUCAACAAGGAAACAGAAACAGAAACAGGGGAAAGAUUUUUCUUCAGGUUGGUUGCACAAGUCACUGGGCUCACGCCAGUAGCUCCACUGCUGAAGAGUUAUGCUAAGGUAUACCUCCCUAGAUCGAUCUUCACUCAUGGCCAGUUGUAUGUAACUUUAUCUCGAGUGACAUCACCGGAGGGGCUCAAGAUAUUGGAAGGAUUCAUCUGAUUCAGACGGUGCGGCCGGAGUAAAAAAUGUAGUCUGAGAUCUUCAAGGGCCUCAGUGACACCAAGGCAAAGAACGCAGUGUGGACUUGAACAUCCACAAAUCGUGUAGUUUUUUACUGCAAUUUUAUUCCACCUUUUACAGUAUUGCUCUAAUCUAUCGUAUAUCCCUCUCUUGAGUAACAACUCCAGUGAUGGCAGACAGCGUCGAGUAUUAGAAGUUCAUAAACUGUAUCAGACAUUCGCAUGGCUGUGAACAUAGUGUUUCUUCUGACACACGCAAUUAAUCCUCUUAGUUAGCUUACUCCACGCUUUACUGAAAUGUUAGAAUAUUUCCAGUUAUCUUUUUUUUCUGUCAUGACAAUCGCGUUUUAUAAAUCUGGUUUAAUAGGUAAAUUAUGUUACUCCGGUUA